rnacentral:rRNA from 1 species
AUUGAACGCUGGCGGCAUGCUUUACACAUGCAAGUCGAACGGUAACAGGUUAAGCUGACGAGUGGCGAACGGGUGAGUAAUGCAUCGGAACGUGCCCGGUCGUGGGGGAUAACGCAGCGAAAGCUGCGCUAAUACCGCAUACGAUCUAAGGAUGAAAGCGGGGGACCGUAAGGCCUCGCGCGAUCGGAGCGGCCGAUGUCAGAUUAGGUAGUUGGUGGGGUAAAGGCUCACCAAGCCAACGAUCUGUAGCUGGUCUGAGAGGACGACCAGCCACACUGGGACUGAGACACGGCCCAGACUCCUACGGGAGGCAGCAGUGGGGAAUUUUGGACAAUGGGCGAAAGCCUGAUCCAGCAAUGCCGCGUGCAGGAAGAAGGCCUUCGGGUUGUAAACUGCUUUUGUACGGAGCGAAAAGGUCUCCUCUAAUACAGGGGGCUCAUGACGGUACCGUAAGAAUAAGCACCGGCUAACUACGUGCCAGCCGCCGCAGUAAAAC